UCCACUUACAAUUACAGGCUUCGAAUAGUUAACAGUUAAUACCGCUGUGAAAUAAGGUUAUUCUGCAGUGCAGUGUUCAUGUUAGAACACGUGGAAAAAUGUAUUCCCAAAGGUCGAUUCGUUUCACGCAAAGCUUUUUCCACCUUAAUUGUUUCGAACGUACGUAUCGUGUGCUGUUUUGAAAAUACACGCGUUCCACGCGAUAAAGUAACCGAAGGUAGGAACAUUCCCACCGUGUCUGUUCCCAUGUCGAAUACACGCACUGUCGUUCGUUUGACAAAGUGAUCGUAAACGUGAACACACUUUUAUUGUGCGUACAAAGCAAACGCGUCAAGUUGGUGUGAUUCCCAAAGGUCUUAGCCUUCCACUAAUGCAUACCUGAACUUUACCGGUAGGGUAACGAGAAACGUCAGGGAAACGGAGCUUUGUCAGCGAUCUAUUUACUCUGAUCUUAACAUAAACGAAUGGAAGUCGAAUCUUGUCGAUAUACGCCUGUAAGAACUGUAUGGGAUAGAGGAACUUCAGUACGACUGAGAAGAAACUUUUGCCGCGAGAAUAAUUGAUCUUGCUAGACGUGGAAGACGAAUGAUCGUCGAAGUCGGACUAUUGAAAAACCUAAGAAACGCUGACAAAGGAGGGAAUUUUUCAAUGAAAUUCAAUUAGUCCGACAAUUCGAGGAUAUCUUCGCACAUCUUUCUUUAUAAAUGAUUUGAGUGCCCAAUAAAACUCCUUGAAUAAUGAUUACAUUAAAUUCAAGAAAACAUUGCAUUAAGUAAAAAUAGAAGGAAUCAACUCUAUCAUAGAUGAUGAUGAAAAAAAUGAAACUCUAGUUCAAGUUAAACGAUACAGCAGGGUGAGCAUUACAGAACGAAACUUAUCUCGGGGGAAUAAUCGAUCCUAAGUAGAAACAAAAGGUCGUACGGUGUUCCGAGGUCGAGAUCAUGGAAAAUUAUUCCACGUAGCGUCUGGUAGGACGAAAGAUAUUUCAAACACGACGACCGACUCUUGGUCAAGUUUUUCAAUUACGAAAUACACGUGUCCAGAACGUGCACGGAAGAGAUAUAAUUGAAGGAAGACCAGGCUGGAUGAAAUGAUCGAUUAUCAUGCGUUGUUGAGCAACCGUCGCUCACUCCGGAGUCUCCAAUUACAUCUUUAUCGGACAGAGCCAUACCUACGCGCCAUCAUACGAUACAUCAUCUUUCCGCUGCUAACUCAUAAGACGAAGUUUCGAGGUUGAGCAAAGAUUUAUGCCAGUUGGCUCGAGCGACGGAACGAACUCGCAACAUGUUUCUCUUGAGUUUUCCUUUCUCGAUUCGAGCAUCGUGCGAGUUCAUCGAAGAAAUCAUUCCUCGCACAGUUGUUGGCUGAAUAGCCUCUCCUUGGGACCAUCGACUAUUUUUCGUCGGAAUUUCUUUCGUCGAGAGGAAGUCAAAGAUUGUUAAAGUCACUUGAUCUUAACGAUAGCUAUUGUGUUUUUGUGUCUUCCUUUCUCUUUGAUAUGAUAAUUAGAAGUGGAGCUUAAAUGAGAGACGAUUAAUGUAAAUGAAGUGUAACUGUUGAAUAAUGGUGGUUACUAAAUUUAAAUAAAUGAUUAUUCCGAUUUA